rnacentral:rRNA from 1 species
GACGAACCGUGCGAACGUUGUUCGGAUUCACUGGGCUUAAAGGGCGCGUAGGCGGGCCAUCAAGUCAGGGGUGAAAUCUUUCGGCUCAACCGGAAAAGUGCCUUUGAUACUGGUGGUCUCGAGGGAGGUAGGGGCAUGCGGAACUUCCGGUGGAGCGGUGAAAUGCGUAGAUAUCGGAAGGAACGCCGGUGGCGAAAGCGGCGUGCUGGACCUCUUCUGACGCUGAGGCGCGAAAGCGUGGGGAGCGAACAGG